rnacentral:rRNA from 1 species
UUGCUCUUCAACGAGGAAUGCCUAGUAAGCGCGUGUCAUCAGCAUGCGUUGAUUACGUCCCUGCCCUUUGUACACACCGCCCGUCGCUACUACCGAUUGAAUGGCUCAGUGAGGCCUUCGGACUGGCUUGGGGAGGUUGGCAACGACCACCCUAAGCCGGAAAGUUCGUCAAACUCGGUCAUUUAGAGGAAGUAAAAGUCGUAACAAGGUUUCCGUAGGUGAACCUGCGGAAGGAUCAUUACAUUAGAACAUAGGCCCAAAGCUGUAGCAAUACUGCCCAAAGGCCUCUUCUAUUACCCUUGUUUUUUGAGUACCUAUGUUUCCUUGGUGGGCUUGCCUGCCAACAGGACAAACUAUUAAACCUUUUUUAAUUUUCAAUCAGCGUCUGAAUAAACUUUAAUAAUUACAACUUUCAACAACGGAUCUCUUGGUUCUGGCAUCGAUGAAGAACGCAGCGAAAUGCGAUAAGUAGUGUGAAUUGCAGAAUUCAGUGAAUCAUCGAAUCUUUGAACGCACAUUGCGCCCCUUGGUAUUCCAUGGGGCAUGCCUGUUCGAGCGUCAUUUGUACCCUCAAGCUCUGCUUGGUGUUGGGUGUUUUGUCCUCUCCAUUGCGUUUGGACUCGCCUUAAAGCAAUUGGCAGCCAGUGUAUUGGUUUUAAGCGCAGCACAUCUUGCGUCUUAUUCUUAUAACACUAGCGUCCAUUAAGCCUUUUUAUCACUUUUGACCUCGGAUCAGGUAGGGAUACCCGCUGAACUUAAGCAUAUCAAUAAGCGGAGGA